UCUCAAUGUAGUAGUAAAAAG
ensembl:piRNA 21ur-2830 ncRNA